UCUCUCUGCCUGUGUCUGAUUCGGUUAGGAUUCAGAGCCCUCCUACAAUGUGAGAAAACCUGAUUACCACUCAUUUGUAGGGCAGCUCUGCGGCCCUGACAGAAGCUCUGGCAUACAGGAGACUU
rnacentral:precursor_RNA from 12 species